UCUAAUGUGGCAGAUUAGUGCAAUGAAUUUAAGCUUCAAAAAUGAGACUUAAUUCUCUUUUAGAA
rnacentral:tRNA from 1 species